UUAAGUUAUUAAGGGCGCACGGUGGAUGCCUUGGCACUAGAAGCCGAUGAAGGACGUUACUAACGACGAUAUGCUUUGGGGAGCUGUAAGUAAGCUUUGAUCCAGAGAUUUCCGAAUGGGGAAACCCAGCAUGAGUUAUGUCAUGUUAUCGAUAUGUGAAUACAUAGCAUAUCAGAAGGCACACCCGGAGAACUGAAACAUCUUAGUACCCGGAGGAAGAGAAAGAAAAUUCGAUUCCCUGAGUAGCGGCGAGCGAAACGGGAAGAGCCCAAACCAACAAGCUUGCUUGUUGGGGUUGUAGGACACUCUAUACGGAGUUACAAAGGACGACAUUAGACGAAUCAUCUGGAAAGAUGAAUCAAAGAAGGUAAUAAUCCUGUAGUCGAAAAUGUUGUCUCUCUUGAGUGGAUCCUGAGUACGACGGAGCACGUGAAAUUCCGUCGGAAUCUGGGAGGACCAUCUCCUAAGGCUAAAUACUCUCUAGUGACCGAUAGUGAACCAGUACCGUGAGGGAAAGGUGAAAAGCACCCCGGAAGGGGAGUGAAAUAGAUCCUGAAACCGUGUGCCUACAACAAGUCAAAGCUCGUUAAUGAGUGAUGGCGUGCCUUUUGUAGAAUGAACCGGCGAGUUACGAUUGCAUGCGAGGUUAAGUCGAAGAGACGGAGCCGCAGCGAAAGCGAGUCUGAAUAGGGCGAAUGAGUAUGUAGUCGUAGACCCGAAACCAUGUGAUCUACCCAUGUCCAGGUUGAAGGUGCGGUAAAACGCACUGGAGGACCGAACCCACGUACGUUGAAAAGUGCGGGGAUGAGGUGUGGGUAGCGGAGAAAUUCCAAACGAACUUGGAGAUAGCUGGUUCUCUCCGAAAUAGCUUUAGGGCUAGCCUCGGAAUUGAGAAUGAUGGAGGUAGAGCACUGUUUGGACUAGGGGCCCAUCUCGGGUUACCGAAUUCAGAUAAACUCCGAAUGCCAUUCAUUUAUAUCCGGGAGUCAGACUGCGAGUGAUAAGAUCCGUAGUCGAAAGGGAAACAGCCCAGACCACCAGCUAAGGUCCCAAAAUAUAUGUUAAGUGGAAAAGGAUGUGGGGUUGCACAGACAACUAGGAUGUUGGCUUAGAAGCAGCCACCAUUUAAAGAGUGCGUAAUAGCUCACUAGUCGAGUGACCCUGCGCCGAAAAUGUACCGGGGCUAAACAUAUUACCGAAGCUGUGGACUACACCAUUAGGUGUAGUGGUAGGAGAGCGUUCUAAGGGCGUUGAAGGUCGAUCGUGAGGACGGCUGGAGCGCUUAGAAGUGAGAAUGCCGGUAUGAGUAGCGAAAGACAGGUGAGAAUCCUGUCCACCGUAUGACUAAGGUUUCCUGGGGAAGGCUCGUCCGCCCAGGGUUAGUCGGGACCUAAGCCGAGGCCGAUAGGCGUAGGCGAUGGACAACAGGUUGAUAUUCCUGUACCACCUAUAAUCGUUUUAAUCGAUGGGGGGACGCAGUAGGAUAGGCGAAGCGUGCGAUUGGAUUGCACGUCUAAGCAGUAAGGCUGAGUAUUAGGCAAAUCCGGUACUCGUUAAGGCUGAGCUGUGAUGGGGAGAAGACAUUGUGUCUUCGAGUCGUUGAUUUCACACUGCCGAGAAAAGCCUCUAGAUAGAAAAUAGGUGCCCGUACCGCAAACCGACACAGGUAGUCAAGAUGAGAAUUCUAAGGUGAGCGAGCGAACUCUCGUUAAGGAACUCGGCAAAAUGACCCCGUAACUUCGGGAGAAGGGGUGCUCUUUAGGGUUAACGCCCAGAAGAGCCGCAGUGAAUAGGCCCAAGCGACUGUUUAUCAAAAACACAGGUCUCUGCUAAACCGUAAGGUGAUGUAUAGGGGCUGACGCCUGCCCGGUGCUGGAAGGUUAAGAGGAGUGGUUAGCUUCUGCGAAGCUACGAAUCGAAGCCCCAGUAAACGGCGGCCGUAACUAUAACGGUCCUAAGGUAGCGAAAUUCCUUGUCGGGUAAGUUCCGACCCGCACGAAAGGCGUAACGAUUUGGGCACUGUCUCAACGAGAGACUCGGUGAAAUUUUAGUACCUGUGAAGAUGCAGGUUACCCGCGACAGGACGGAAAGACCCCAUGGAGCUUUACUGUAGUUUGAUAUUGAGUGUUUGUACCACAUGUACAGGAUAGGUAGGAGCCGAUGAGACCGGAACGCUAGUUUCGGAGGAGGCGCUGGUGGGAUACUACCCUUGUGUUAUGAACCCUCUAACCCGCACCACUAAUCGUGGUGGGAGACAGUGUCAGAUGGGCAGUUUGACUGGGGCGGUCGCCUCCUAAAAGGUAACGGAGGCGCCCAAAGGUUCCCUCAGAAUGGUUGGAAAUCAUUCGAAGAGUGUAAAGGCAGAAGGGAGCUUGACUGCGAGACCUACAAGUCGAGCAGGGACGAAAGUCGGGCUUAGUGAUCCGGUGGUUCCGCAUGGAAGGGCCAUCGCUCAACGGAUAAAAGCUACCCUGGGGAUAACAGGCUUAUCUCCCCCAAGAGUCCACAUCGACGGGGAGGUUUGGCACCUCGAUGUCGGCUCGUCGCAUCCUGGGGCUGUAGUCGGUCCCAAGGGUUGGGCUGUUCGCCCAUUAAAGUGGCACGCGAGCUGGGUUCAGAACGUCGUGAGACAGUUCGGUCCCUAUCCGUCGCGGGCGUUGGAAAUUUGAGAGGAGCUGUCCUUAGUACGAGAGGACCGGGAUGGACUUACCGCUGGUGUACCAGUUGUUCUGCCAAGGGCAUUGCUGGGUAGCUAUGUAGGGAAGGGAUAAACGCUGAAAGCAUCUAAGUGUGAAGCCCACCUCAAGAUGAGAUUUCCCAUUUCUUUAAGAAAGUAAGACCCCUGAGAGAUGAUCAGGUAGAUAGGUUGGAAGUGGAAGGCUAGUGAUAGUUGGAGCGGACCAAUACUAAUCGGUCGAGGACUUAACCAA
rnacentral:rRNA from 1 species